UACAGAGGUCCCAAGCGUUACUGAGAAUCACUGGGUUUAAAGGGUGCGUAGGUGGUCCGUUAAGUCAGUUGUGAAAUCCCCGGGCUCAACCCGGGAACUGCUUCUGAUACUGGCGGACUUGAGGCCAGUAGGGGUCACUAGAACUGACGGUGGAGCGGUGAAAUGCGUAGAUAUCGUCAGGAAUGCCGGUGGUGAAGACGGGCGACUGGGCUGGUUCUGACACUGAGGCACGAAAGCGUGGGGAGCGAACGGG
rnacentral:rRNA from 1 species